GCCAAGCCCACCCGAGCGCGCUGGGAUGUUCGUCUCCAUGAGAUUGCCAGCUGUGAUGUUGUGGCUAUCACUGAAACGUGGCUGAAAGAUGGUUGUAGUUGGAAGUUGAAUGUCCAAGGUUACACGUUAUAUCGGAGGGAUAGGAAGGUCAAUUUUCAGCCUUUUUUUUAUUCAUGGACAUCUCGCUUCCCUUCUGAAGAAAAAAAUGUGUUGCGCCUCAACAGGUAGUGGCUGAUCUGCUCAACUCCUCAAAUAGAUUGCUUUUUGCUCAAUUUUCCAGAAGGCCAGCAGGCAUAGUAACACCCAAGGAGAGGAAAACUGAAGCAUUACAAUUUCAUGUAACCAUUCCAGUUCUGCCACAAACCUCGUUGAAUGACAUAGAGUGAAACAAAGUGCAAGUGAAUCGCUGCUUUGCCUGGGACAUCUCCUUUGGUUUCUGGAAGGUGGCCAGGACAACUUUGCAACUGUCACACCUCUCACUGACGCACAGGAAGGGAAGUAGUCGGUGGCAAUGGAAGACAGACCACGGACUCUUUAUUUUAUUUUAUUUAGAGGUACAACAUGUGACAGGCCUGAUGGCCCAAUGAGCCACCCACUUAUUUAAUCCUAGCCUAAUCAUGGGACAAUUUGCUAUGACCAAUUAACUGGUAUGUCUUUGGAUUCUGGGAGGAAACCCAUGCAAUCAUGGGGAAAAUGUACAAACUCCUUAAACAGUGCUGGAAGUGAACUCCAAGCUCCAAACGCCCUGAGCUGUAAUAGCGUUGCACUAACUGCAGCGCUGCCAUGGCAACUGUCUUUGAAGGAAUGGUCCCUCUGGAAUACUGGGAGGAGGGGACAAGAUUUGCCUGGUGGUGGCCUCUUGUUGAUGUGGGUCUGUUUUAUGGGGAGGAUGGGGAACUAUAUCCUUGCUCCAGGAAGAAAACAGAAGUGUGGGGAAGUAAGUGAUGGAAGAUUAACUGUAGUAGUCCAGAGUAACAUACAUAAAAUAGCAGAGGAACUCUGCAGGUCAGGCAGCAUCUAUGGAAGGGAAUGAACAGUCAGCGUUUCAGGCCAAGACCCUUCUUCAGGACCUGAGUUCCUCCAGUAUUUUGAAAAUGUUACUCUUAAACAGGACUCUGUCUGCAUCUUCAGAUGAACACAGGAAAAAUAAUGCCCAUGUCACUACUUUGAAGCCGAGGAAGGGAAUCUCCAGCCCUCUGUAGCUCAGCAUGUCUUGGAUUUCUUUGUAUGAGAUAAAAGCUGGAAGUUACGUGCAGGACAGGCACUGAACUCCAAACUUACUCCACAACCUAGAGUCACGUUCAUGGACUGUACAACUCAUUUUCUCAGUGUUACGAAGGAUGAACAACUCUGAUGGGCAGAAGGGUACAGAGUUGCCCAUGUCCCCUCCCCUGGGAGAAUUACAAACCGUUACUGUUGCUAGGCUGCUAAUGAGAGAGAAAGAGAUGGAACAAAAACAUACUGGGACUAGAACAUUUGCUUCAGACAAGGGAGAGAUAACACCGGGGGAGAGAGACUUGUUCCACCAUAUUAUGACUCUUGUAAGACUUAUGGCUCCAGAGAGGGCUGUUUACUUGGUAUUAUUCUGUUCAUUAAAAUUCCUCAUUGGACAGCAGGAGUGGGCUGGUUUGAUGGGCUAAGCCAUUCAAAACUGAUUGACACCUGAGACCCUGUGAGUGGGGAUAAAAGUGAGGUCUGGGGAGACACCCCUCAGAUGCACCAAGAGACACACUAGUGAGCACUGCUUAAAUGUUGGAACCCACGAGAAAGUGUGGGGCAUCGGAGACCGAACGAAGGAUCAGUCAAUUUUAACUCAAAGUGUUUAUAGGGAGGCCGGUGGGGGCUCGUGUGUGUGUCCACCCUUGCCUGGGUGACAAGUCCACCAUAGAAGAACGGUCUAGCUUUAAAGGUGAGAGGGGUCAUACCUGAAUGGCCACAACAACACAUCGACGGAUCAAGAACGUAAAGGAAGGUUUGACUUGCUGUCACUGUUUGCUCACUCUUUCUCUCUCUCUCUCUCCAACAAUUACAACACAUCGACCAACAACUACCUCAGCCUGUAUGAACUGAACUGAACUUUAUAUUCACAUAUGACAAUUCAUUAUCCCCUAGACAUUGAUAGAGCUUGUUUAUUAUUGAUUAUUAUUAUACCCACACUUUUAGUUUUAGUAUUGCUAAAGUGUAUUAUCUGUAUAUUUGCAUUGUUGAUAUUGAUUUGUAUAUUUUACUAAUAAACACUGUUUUGAUAAUAGUACCAGACUCCAACCGAUACUUCUAUGCUGGUAAGGCACCCAGUUACAGGGUACGUAACAUCAGUAUCUUUUGUAUUUGCACUAUUUGUUUUCUUUCGUGCAUUGGUCGUUUGUCAGUCUUUAUUUAUAUAUAGUUUUUCAUAAAUUAUAUUGUAUUUCUUUAUUUUUCUGUAGCUGCCUGCAAGAAAGUGAAUCUGAAGGUGGUAUAUUGUGACAUAUACGUACUUGGAUAAUAACUUGACUUUGACUUUGAACUGAUGUGUCCACUACACCAGAAGUGGCCAUUCAGCACAGCAAUGGAGUGGUGAGAUGCUGAGAACAAAGUCCAGUGUGCUUUGCAUCAGGCCCCACACGUUAAUGACAAGGAGGCACUGCGGUGAUCCUACCCGCUUAGGUGGUAUCAUCAACACUUGGGAGCAAGUUAGGUGGAGCAAACAGAUUCCAGGUUCAAGUCAUACUCUGGACCCAGCUUGUGAAUUAAGGAGGCUUAUUGUCGCUCUUCAGUGCAGGAGUAUAAAGGAAAACAAAAUGGUUGUUACCCUGGAUCUGAAGCAGCACUGAAUAAAAAGCAUGAAGAACACAGUAAAAAGAAACAAAAAAACACAGUGGACUGUAAGAGCUUUCUAACUGGUUGCAUCAUUGUCUGGUCUGGAGAGGUCACUGCACAGGUUCAGAAAAAGCUGCAGAAAGUUGCAAACUCAACCACCUCCAUCAUGGGCGCUGGCUUCCCACCAUCCCGGACAUCUUCAAUUGCUGAUGCAUCAUAAAGGCAGCAUCUGUCAUCAGUGAGGAGCUACAGGAGUCUGAAGACGCACAGUCAAAAGUUUUAGGAACUGCUUCUUAAGACCAUAAGACACAGGAGCAGAAUUAGGCCAUCUGGCCCAUCGAGUGUUCUCCUCCAUUCAAUCAUGGCUGUUCCUUUUUUCUAUCACCUCCUCAACCCCAGUUCCCGGCCUUCUCCCCGUAACCUUUGAUGUCAUGUCCAAUCAAGAACCUCUCAAGCUCAGCCUUAAAUAUACCCAACAACCUUGCCUCCACAGCUGCACAUGGCAACAAAUCCCAUAAAUUCACCACCCUCUGGCUAAAGAAAUUUCUCCGCAUCUCUGUUUUGAAAGGGCGCCCCUCUAUCACCAUGGGAAACAUCCUUUUCACAUCUUCUCUGUCUUGGCCUUUCAACCUUAGAAAGGUUUCAAUGAGAUCCCCCCUCAUCCUUCUAAAUUCCAGCGAGUACAGACCCAGAGCCAUCAAACGUUCUUCGCAUGAUAACCCUUUCAUUCCUGGAAUCAUCCUUGUGAACCUCCUCUGGACCGUCCCCAAUGCCAGCACUUCUUUUCUAAGAUGAGGGUCCCAAAACUGUUCACAAUACUCAAGGUGAGGCCUCACCAGUGCCUUAUGAAGCCUCAGCAUCACAUCCUUCCUCUUGUAUUCUAGACCUCUUGAAAUGAAUGCUAACAUGGCAUUUGCCUUCCUCACCACUGACUCAAUCUGCUGUUCUGCACAAGGACUCCGAAAUCCCUCUGCAUUUCAGAUUCCUGGAUUUUCUCCCUGUUUAGAAAAUAGUCCGCAUGUUUAUUUCUACUACCAAAAUGCACGACCAUGCAUUUUUCAAUAUUGUAUUUCAUUUUCUGUCUUCUUGCCCACCCUGCUAAUCUGUCUAAAUCCUUCUGCAUCCUACUUGUUUCCUCAAUACUACCUGUCCCUCCAUCAAUCUUUGUAUCAUCUGCAAACUUGGCAACAAAGUCAUCUAUUCCAUCAUCUAAAUCAUUUAUAUACAUCAUAAAAAGAAGUGGUCCCAACACCAACUCCUUCAGAACACUAGUCACUGUCAGCCAACCAGAAAAGGAUCUUUUUAAUUCCCCUUUCUUCCCCUCUGCCACCAGAUUUCUGAAUGGGGGAUGAACCAUCCCAUGAAAACUACCUCACUGUUCUUGCUCUCUUUUUGUCCUACUGACUUUACAUAUAUUUACACAUAGAAUGGCCACUGUCAUGGUCUGGUCCGUGAAGUCCGCGUUCCGUCUCACGGUCUGGUCUGUGGACUCCAGACUCCGGGUCUUCUGGCGUUCCCUUGUCUCAUUUGGGCUAAAUUAUAGGCACCUGAUUCUCAUCUUGGGGCCAAGAAUAUAAGUGGCCCUGGGUUGGAGGCUGGUUGCUGGUUCAUCUCGUCAGUAUCAUGUUCUUGCCUCUGUGUGGGUUUGUCCUGUCGGUAUCCUGUCCUCACCUCCAUGGGGUAAGUCAGGCCGUCCUUGCUGUAACCCUGAGGCUGGACUGUUCCCUUCCUUUCCUCUGAAGCCUUGCCUGCAACCUAUAUCUGGGGCCUCACCUUGCCUCUGCCUCACCUUGCCUGGAGCCUUGCCUCACCUUGCCUAUGCCUGGAGCCACGCCCUGUUUGGAACUGUCUGUGUCCAUGCCUUCGCUAGGUAGGUUCAGCCGUUCUGCCGCUACCUAGCGUUGGGAACUGUCUCGUUGUGUUUAGCGUUCUGUGUAAUGAGUUCCGGCCCUACGUCCUGUACCCAAGGAGGGGUCCCGGCUUGGUGUUCCAUGUUCCUGUCUCUCCCUCAACUCUGUGUUCUGCAUUCCUGUUCUCCCCUGACCCAGUCUUUGUGUUCUGUGUUCCUGUUCUCCCUUGACCAGGGCUCUGUGCUCUUGUCUUGUCGAUGUGCCUCACCCAGCCUGGUGCUGGGAUUCCCUUGUCCUGUGCUGUGGUUCCCUUGUCCUGUCCAUGAGUCUCACGUCCAGUCCUGUACCUCUCCUCAUCCUGUAGACACGUCUUGUCUGAGCCUGGUUCUGGAGUCCGAGUCCGAGUCAGACCCAGGUUCUGGGUCCUUGUCCAGUCUCUGGCUCGGAGUCCAAGCCCAGGCUCCUAGUUGCCAGUUUCCUUGUCCUGGUUCUGCUAUCCUCAUCAAGUCCUAGCCCAGGCCCAGAAUCUUUGUCUCUUCCAGGGCCUGUGUCGUGUCCAGCGUUCUUUCUUCCUCAUUCCCUUGCUUCCUUCUCAUGCCUGGUCCUGUUCCUGGUGGUUCAGUGUCUGUGUCUUGCUUUUGGGUCCGCUCUCAAUGCCCCCAUAUGACAGCCACUCUGUUCUGUACAGGAGUGGAACCCCAUGUGGUCUUCUGCCCAACCACUUCAAGGUUCAACAUGUUUCAUUUUCAGAGAUGCUGUUCUGCACACCACUGUUGUAACAUGAUGUGGUUGGUUAUUCGAGUUACUGUCACUUUCCUGCCAGCUUGCACCAAUGUGACCAUUCUUCGCUGACCGAUUUUCCUAUUUUAAUUGAUUAUUAUUUGAUGUAUUGCAUUGUACUGCUCGCAUAA